UCUCUAUUGUCAUUUUAACUUGCCUAUGCAGUAUGUAAACGCAAGGAUGCUUAACUCUUAAACCCAGUAAGUGAUCAUCAGCAGAUGAACACAAGUGUAGAGGGUUUAGGUUGAGUGGGGGCGUAUGGGAAUGUAACCGGUGAUGAUAAUGUGAUGCUCUAUUUUAGAACCAGCAGGACUGCAAGGGCUCUGAUUGCUGGGAAGUAAGCGUGUCUAUACCUCAAAAAAGGAAACAAGGCCACACCAUGAGGGUGGCCUAAGUCAAUUUAGGAGGAAUGGAAGGUUACUGAGCUUUUCUAUUCUGCUUUGGUUAGAACUCCUGUCCCUCCUCCGUUCCAGCAGAAGAUUGUGCAAGCCUGAGAGGUGAGACUAGGAACCACUGUAAAACCACUCAGACCGUACGUUUACUUUCAAAUUGGUUGAUUACAUCAGUGUGUGCUUCAAGAAUAGUUGCUUGUGAAGGAAGGUGGCACAACCAGCAAACACCUAAAGGCACUGAGAUCAUCUUCUUUCAACCGCCCUGUAACACCCUUCUAUUACAAAGGCAAGCCAAGAACUGUCGAAAUUAUGUUUUUUCUUUUCCUCUUCAGGAUUUUUAACACUUGACUUUACCCGGAUAAAGUUUAUUUUUUGAGAAAUGGAGGACCAAAAACUUACCAUGUGACCUUGCUGGUUAGGCAAGUAGGGUUACUACUAAGCCUCAGCAUUUUCUCAGUUUGAUUGGGGAUAAACUGAAUAAAAGAAUAACUGAUAAAAUGGAACCCUGUCAGAGAGUUUUUGGGAGGAUUUGAUGAGAAAAUCUAUGUAAGGCACUUAGUAAGUUACCUAGAACAUAGCAAAGAUUGGAUCAAUGAUGAACUCUUAUGGGAGUUUCUUUUCAAAAAAUCUUUAUCAGUUAGUUGUGAUUCUUUGAUCUUGUACCCUUCACCCUCUUUAAAAUGUCUUAUUGGCUUGCUUUCAUUUUAAGAGCUGUUUAUCUCUUUUUAAGGGCUUUUGAAUAUAAAACAUGGUUAAGAAACUGAAGUAGGAUCUCUUCUGCGGCAGCACCAUGUUCUAAUACGCUGAUCAAACUGCACUGGUGUUAGGAGGUGAAUCAGGAUGCCGAGCAAUGAGCCUGAGAAUCCUGGCACUGGAUCUGUGUAUGGGUUACUGCAGCUGGUAUAAAUAGCUGUGAAUUUCCAGGUGAUUCCCGAAGGCACCACACCCUAACGGAGGGCGGUGCAGGGUUUUCUCUGCUAAGGGAAAACAGCCCAAAGAAAACAUCUGUCUCUUCACUGUGGGAAGAGCACCAGGCAUGUUCCAUGGACAGCCAGAGCCAGUAAAAGCAAAGCUCACUCACUGCAUUCUUGCAACAGCUGGGAAUCUGUCCUUGAGCUUCAUAGAUGGCAUUUCCCAGAAUGUCUACACAACGUCCUUGGAGAAUGGCUGUUGGGUAAUUGAUGAUAUAGGGACUCCGCAGUUGUACAGAGCCAUCAGCCCCUCCCAGGGAAGUCCAGAGAUUUGCAAUAGUCAAAGCAUGUGACCCCCUCGGAGAGUAAACAAUAACACAAGGGUAUGUGAAUGGACAACAGGAUCUAGAAGAGCGGUACUCUCCCAUUGGCCUUUAAAGUGUAUCUUGGAUAUAUCUCAACCCCACCCUUUUAAUACUGCUUUUGUAGUUUUUCCCUUUAGGUUGAUGUCGCUGAUUACCAUGGAUGUUUGGAGGCCGGCAGAGAAUGAAAUGAUCUGGUUCUCUGGAAUGUACUGUGUUGGGAAAUGGCUUCAUGGUAGAGACUGGAGAUGUAGAGACAGCUCAGAAAGUGGCUGUGCUUUCCUGUAUCCUGGGGUGUGAGGGGAAGAAAUUGAGUAAAUAUGGCAGAAGUGGUGAUGUGUCACGUCCAAGAUUAAGUGAAAAAAACCAUUCUGGCUUCUGUCUUAGUCACACUUUCUUGAACAAUUCACUUUGGAGAAAGCCAUCUGCCAAGUCAUGAGCAACCCAAUGGAAAGGCCAGUGUGACAGGGACUAAAGCCUCCUACCAACAUGGGAGUGAGUCUGGAAGCGGGUCUUCAGCCACCGUCCAGCCUGCAGAUGACCACAGUCCUGGCUGGUACAGCCUCAUGAGAAACUCUGAGCCAGGACCACCAGCUAAGCUAUUCCUAAAUUCCUGCCACUCAGAAACUGUGUGAGAUUAUAAAUAUUUGUUGUUUUAAGCUGCUAAGUGUUGGGAUAAUUUGCUACACAGCAACAGAUAAUACAGGCAAUUUCUUAUUUUUAAGACCAAUAUUUUGUCUUUUAUAAUAAGAUUUAUUUGUAUGACUUUUGCCAACAUCACUCAAAUUAAAAGUUCUGUCCUUAUUAAUUCCUUUGAAAGUGUAUUUUACACACAUUAUUCAGUCCAUUCUUCCCUUCCUCUCGCUCCUCCAUCACCUCUUUCUCUUGUCUUUCAAUUUCGCAUCUAAUGUGCCUUCUACAAUAGCGAAGCAGUGGAGUCUGGUAGCAGAAGAUACAUGGACUUUGAUUUUUGAGGUGAGAGAUUUCCAGUUCUGGCUGCUGUGUGAUGUUGAACAGGUACUAACGCUUUCAAGGUCUCAGCUUCCUUAUCUGUAAAAUUGGGAAAAGAGGUAACUUUAAGAGGUAUUGUAAAGAUUAAGAACAGUUAAAUACGUGAAACUCCUAGCACGAUGUCUAGCAAAUAAUGUGCAUUCUGUAAAUAGUAGCUAUAGUACAAUAACCAUGUGACAAUAACAACAAGGGCGGUGAUCCCCAACUUUCAUGAAGAUUCCUGAGAGUCCAUAUAGCUCAGCCAAAGAUGUUUCAAAUAAACUGUUGUGAGGAUGGUGAGAGCAGAACACACUCCGUCCUCAUGGUUAUCCCUCCAGAGUGAGAGUGAAUGGCUCUUUACCGACUGACCAAGUGGGGGAAGGAGCCAUGUCAACCAUCAGGUGCAGGUUGAGUAGGGAGGGCUACGAGCUGCCUUGAUGAACUCUACAGGCAUCAUCUGUCAUCUGCCAUCCUUGAAUCUCCAAAAUCCUGGGCCUGGAAGGCUCAGUUUAGUUCAGUAAACCAUUAAUUGCUAGACCCACAAAAGUGAAUGAGCCCCUGGCCUUGUGCCAAGGAGCAGAUCAUCAUAAUCCUUUGUGCUACGUGCACUGGUGAAUGGAGAUCUGUCCCUGGUGUUAAGGGCUCAGGGAAGAGCACAACUAUGUCAGACUGAGCUGUGUGGGGUGGUAGUCAGGGAGGGCUUCCGGGAAGAGGCAGGCCCAAGUCAAAUUUUAAAAGAUGAAUUUCUUUCUCCAUAUCUUGGCAGGACAGGACUCAAGUCAUUCAAGUUAGCUAGGUUCUCACUCCUUAAAAUCUUCAUAUGGAAGUCUCUUUCAUCUGCUUUGGAUCUCGAGCUUCAGGAAGAAAGAAGCAUUUGGCUUAGCACUUGUAAUUGUUUAAAGAAGAGCUAAGAUUCUUAUCCUGAUAUGAAGCUCUCCAAGAGCCACAAAAUGAAGACAAGUCUUAUUGAUGGUCCCAAAGCUCAUGAAGAAGCCAGAGAGAAUCGCCUAGCGUGAGACCAUCACCCCAGCCCAGCAGUUUUAUUCCUUCUAAGUCAAUACGCUUUUCUGAGAUGACCCAGGAAACUGUUACAGAGUUUGGAAACUAACAGAUGCAGUUAACUCUCAACAACAAAUUCCUGCCUCAUAUUUUUGCUCUCAGGUCUUUGGCCCUCAAAAGACUUCAAACUAAGCUCAUGCCUCUUCCCAGCUCCUGAGUCUGGGAAUGAAUAUCGGGGCCGUGUGGAAACUUUAUCUGUGGUGCAAAGCUGCUCACUCUUUUGGAUAAAUAAAAGGGACGAAGGCUGUGUUCCUGGGAGAGAGUUAGGGCUUUUAUCAUUGUAGAAAAAAGAGUUACUGCCCUAAGGUUAUGCCUUUGGUUUGGGGAGAGAUGAAGAACUGAGCAGUCUUUUAGGCAUAUCCCAGUAGUCAAAUCUUGUCUUUCAAAGGACUGAAGGUGGCUGAAGGACACUUCCAAGGGGCUGGGAGUUGG